UAGGGAAUCUUCCGCAAUGGACGCAAGUCUGACGGAGCAACGCCGCGUGAGUGAAGAAGGUUUUCGGAUCGUAAAACUCUGUUGUUAGAGAAGAACAAGUGCUAGAGUAACUGUUAGCGCCUUGACGGUAUCUAACCAGAAAGCCACGGCUAACUACGUGCCAGCAGCCGCGGUAAUACGUAGGUGGCAAGCGUUGUCCGGAUUUAUUGGGCGUAAAGCGAGCGCAGGCGGUUCCUUAAGUCUGAUGUGAAAGCCCCCGGCUCAACCGGGGAGGGUCAUUGGAAACUGGGGAACUUGAGUGCAGAAGAGGAGAGUGGAAUUCCAUGUGUAGCGGUGAAAUGCGUAGAUAUAUGGAGGAACACCAGUGGCGAAGGCGACUCUCUGGUCUGUAACUGACGCUGAGGCUCGAAAGCGUGGGUAGCGAACAGGAUUAGAUACCCUGGUAGUCCACGCCGUAAACGAUGAGUGCUAAGUGUUGGAGGGUUUCCGCCCUUCAGUGCUGCAGUUAACGCAUUAAGCACUCCGCCUGGGGAGUACNACCGCAAGGUUG
rnacentral:rRNA from 1 species